UACGUAGGGGGCAAGCGUUAUCCGGAUUUACUGGGUGUAAAGGGGGCGCAGACGGCGAUGCAAGCCAGGAGUGAAAGCCCGGGGCCCAACCCCGGGACUGCUCUUGGAACUGCGUGGCUGGAGUGCAUGAGGGGCAGGCGGAAUUCCUGGUGUAGCGGUGAAAUGCGUAGAUAUCAGGAGGAACACCGGUGGCGAAGGCGGCCUGCUGGACUGCAACUGACGUCGAGGCCCGAAAGCGUGGGGAGCAAACAGG
rnacentral:rRNA from 1 species